GUGAAUGCAAAAUAGAAUAUAAACAUGCAAAUGCAAGUGAAUCAAUUGACAAAGUAAAGAUAUGAAUGAAUGGAGUUGUUGGGGUUUACAAUUUCAUCUUAUUCUCUCUCUUAUAUAUACUUUUCUUAUUUAAUUUGCUUAAUUAUCUAAUUGUCAUGCAAACUUUCUUAGCCUACCCUAAACCCAAUUCCUUGACGAAAAGAGCCUACUAUUAACUACUAGUUUACUAUCUCUAGUCUCC
rnacentral:lncRNA from 1 species